ACAAACAAAAAAAAGAAUACACCAUUGAAAUAACAUUUCUAUAUAUAAAAAGAAAAAAGAGGACCCGUGGAACUGCUUGCUCUACAGCGCAUUACAAAACCAGCAAUUGUAUACAACGUUGUGGGUAGAAACAGCCAGGAGAAGAAGAACUUUUCUUACUCUAUAUAAUAAUAAGGUAUGUAAUAAUGUAUUAUUCCCCUUCUUCACUUCAAAUGAACAAAAUGUACACUUUAAUAUUGCAAUCUCUAAAUCUAAUUUGGUUAACAAUUCUAAAAUUGGAAAUAUUUUAAGGAUUAAUUCAAUAUACAUGUACUUAGGACUUUUUUCUGGAUAUUUCACCUUCCCAACAGUCAUCAGAGUGUUCAGUGGGUAAAAACUCUGGUCCUGUAUUGUAACUAGUACUGUUGUAUACAUGACCACGUGAUAGUUAGGAACCACCAUCUAUCUAUCUAGCACCUCACCCCAGCCUGCUAUCUGUCUCUAUCUAUACCUAAUCUCACUGUCACCUCACCCCAGCCUGCUAUCUGUCUCUAUCUAUACCUAAUCUCACUGUCACCUCAGUCUCCACCUCAGCCCAGCCUGCUACCGGUCUCUAUCUAUACCUGCUCCUCCACCUCACCCCAGCCUGCUAUCUGUCUCUAACUAUACCUGUAUUGUAGGUCUAUAAAGAAUAGAGGUAUAGUCAUGACAGUAAAUUGCAGCACCACCCAACUCAUCUGGGUUAGGGUUAUACCCAUGGGUUAUACCCAUAGCCUAUUAUCUAUAACAGUUUAUAACCAUAGCAUAUCAUCCAUAAGAGGUUAUAACCAUAGCCUUUAAUCCAUAACAGGUUAUAACCAUAGAAUAUCAUCCAUAAGAGGUUAUAACCAUAGUCUUUAAUCCAUAACAGGUUAUAACCAUAGUCUUUAAUCCAUAACAGGUUAUACCCAUAGUUUUUAAUCCAUAACAGGUUGUAACCAUAGCCUAUCAUCUAUAACAGGUUAUAACCUUAGCAUAUCAUCCAUAACAGGUUAUACCCAUAGUUGUUAAUCCAUAACAG
rnacentral:lncRNA from 1 species